AUAACACUUCUUAAUUAACUCAAAGCAGAAACCAUGAAGAAAAAGUUCUCCUCUUAUUUGGGGAAUGGAUUUCAGAAGAGACCAGAAGAUGUUCUCAUGUUCUCACCACAGGGAAGGCAGAAGCACAGAGCCCCACAGGCUAAGAAAAUGAGUUCCUAGAAUCUUCUACCUCCACGGCGGAUCCCCUGAUGCCACUCCAAACUUCUGUAAUUGCACUCACAUAUGUGUAUUCCAGAUUUGAUGUGGAAGGAAAAGGCAGUUACCGAGUGCUCAGUCUGCCAUCUUGAAAUAGAAAUCAGAGAUACCAUUUCAUGAGGACUGUCCAGGCAUACUUUUGCUUGAGUUCCUUAGAGGCCUGGAGCACUGACUGCAGGUUGCCAUCCACCUGCAUCGUGGUGACCUUGACCGUAUGGUGAGAGGCCAGCAGAGUUGCAUGGACAGCUUCUGUAUUGCUCAUGUUCCUGCAUGGCAAACACAGGUGAAGCUCAUCAUCUUCCACCAGCAGCUGCUGCAGAAGGAUAGGUCAAUGCCACCGGGAGGGCAGUUCAGACACAGAAUGUGCAUUAUCUGGAUGGCAUCAGGUAGAGGCAUUUCUCUCUGGUUCAGAAAACUGAUUUUGACUGUUUUGGUUCCAAGCAGGAGCCCAAGGAAAGAUUUUUUAAAGACUUAAAAAUCUUUUAAGUAAAGGAAAGAGGGAACUCACACUCUAAUAGCCACUUACUUAGUGUACUGUCAGCAAUGAGAGCUGUACUUUUCCAUUGCUCAUUGCUCUAUUGAGAUUAUUCUGAGGCACGUUAUCAUCCUGCAUUUACUACGCAACUGAUAUCUAAGGGUGAUUACAAACCAUCCAUAGCAAGUGUU
rnacentral:sRNA from 1 species